GGUGCAUGGCCGUCGUCAGUUCGUACUGUGAAGCAUCCUGUUAAGUCAGGCAACGAGCGAGACCCACGCCCACAGUUGCCAGCGUACUCUCUGGAGUGACGGGUACACUGUGGGGACCGCCGCUGCUAAAGCGGAGGAAGGAAUGGGCAACGGUAGGUCAGUAUGCCCCGAAUAUCCCGGGCUACACGCGAGCUACAAUGGUUGGUACAAUGGGUAUCUACCCCGAAAGGGGACGGGAAUCUCCUAAAACCAAUCUUAGUUCGGAUUGAGGGCUGCAACUCGCCCUCAUGAAGCUGGAAUCCGUAGUAAUCGCGUUUCAACAGAACGCGGUGAAUACGUCCCUGCUCCUUGCACACACCGCCCGUCAAACCACCCGAGUAGGGUCUGAAUGAGAGCGCUUUCUUUGGAGGCGUUCGAAUUUGGGCUUUGCAAGGGGGGUUAAGUCGUAACAAGGUAGCCGUAGGGGAAUCUGCGGCUG
rnacentral:rRNA from 1 species